GUCGUUGUGGCUUAGUUGGUCAAAGUGCCUGUCUAGUAAACCGGACAUCCUGGGUUUGAAUCCCAGCAGUGACU
rfam:Danio rerio chromosome 4, GRCz11 reference primary assembly.